ACCCUGCCCUGUUUUUCUUCUUCGGGAGAAAAGGAGCAGCAGCGCCCACCUGCUCGCAUGCUCCAGCGCCUCCACCUGCCCCGCUCCCUUUUCCUCUCUCCAAACCGAGCCAACCAAAACCCUAACCUUCUCCCCCUCUGGCCGCCGCCACUCCUCUUCUUCCCGAGAGAGAACCAAAGAAAAGUUCAGAGAUAUUCAGUAUUUUUUUGUUAAACUCUGCCGGAGUUCGCCGUCGCUGUAGAGGCCGCCACGCCGAGCUAGCGGUGGGGAUGGAGCUGCCAUGGCGCCCGCCAACUCCAUGUUGAAGGCCAGGAGCAGAGGUUGCCCUGGAACGACGCCGCGGACCUGCCUGCUUCUUCUACACCGACGGUCGCCCGUGUCUCUGCUUCCACUUACGCGUCCGCGCCGCCGUCUUCUUCCCGGUACACCCCGUCGUCCGUGGCCUCGUCUCGGAUCUUCUCCAAGCCGGUUCCCGUCGCCAGCAACCCUCACGGUACGACAGAUGAUGAGCAGUACGCAGGUGGCUACUUUUGUCGAGUUCUCGGACGACGAUUUCGUUGCGUAGCAGGAUCGUUCCUAAGGCAGCAGCCUGUGGCAUGUUGGUUAUGGGAACACCGCUUGAUUAUAUUCAGGACUCUUAGUCCAAUUUGGAUCUUGUCUGUACCCAGACUAUUUGGCUACCUUAUGUAUGAUGUACUAAUGGGAUAUGUUUCCCUUCCGAGUGUCAUUUGGAUCUUGCUCAUUAGAGCGUUGCUAUAUAUAUGAACCUUAUUUCCA